UGCGUAGGUGGUGAGGUAAGUCGGAUGUGAAAUCUCGGAGCUCAACUCCGAAAUGGCAUUGGAAACUACCUUGCUCGAGGAAUGGAGGGGGGACUGGAAUUCUCGGUGUAGCAGUGAAAUGCGUAGAUAUCGAGAGGAACACCAGUGGCGAAGGCGAGUCCCUGGACAUCUCCUGACGCUGAGGCACGAAAGCUAGGGGAGCAAACA
rnacentral:rRNA from 1 species